CAAGUCUGACAGCAUGUUGAACGAGUCCGAGAGCAGCGCGAUGGAGUUGCCCAGGUAACCCGACACCAGCUCGGCCACGAAGAAGGCAGCGGCCCUGUUCCAGGUGACAAUCACUCAAAGGGAACAUGUCCUGGACUUGAGAGUCUACAUUGCAGCCCCUUCAGAAAGGGUAUUUGCUGUUGGUCACUUCGGAGACAGAAGUUGGUACCAUCGACUGAGCAGAAGAAAAACCAGAAAUCAGCAGAAGCAUAUCACUCGUGCCUCCUGGUUAGUCAUUCUCCCAGCCAAAGGCAGAUAAGAAUUGGGUCACUGGCCCAGCAGCAAGACAAUAAGAAUUAGAAAGCCAGAGCCUGAGGACCAGGAGUUGUCACAGGUGUCUGAUGUCCCAGUCCUCAGCCAGGUUCUGACCAUAAAGAAAGACCUGUAAGAUGGGAACAGCCUGAAGCCAGCCAGCAGUCAACAUCACUUUGAACAGGUCGCUGAUAAAGCCAAAUGAGUCCUUUUGAGAGCAGAGGCCAUCUGGAAUUCACCUGUGGUUAUGGACACUGUGACUUUGGACUGCAGGUCUCACCCCUUCUCCAGGUAACAAGGGCAGCCCAGAGAGUCACUACGAUACUGACUGCUGCUUGUCAACUCAGAUCUAGAAUCAGUCCCUUGGGAAAUAUGGGAAAUCCUGAUGGAUUCGCUGCAGUGGGAAGCUAGGCAGCACUAUUCCACGAUCUGGGGUCCUGGGCUGUUCGAAAAGGAGAAAGGGGGUUGAGCAGGGUGUGGAAUUCUCAGCGAUUCCUGAGGGCUCAGAGACAAGCUGCCCUGCCUCCUGCUCCAUGACUUCUUCACUGGGAUACACUGCAUCCUCGAAGACUCAGCUCAAACCAGCCCUUCCUUCCCUGAAUAGCAUUUGUCAGGUGUUCCUCACAGCAAAGAGAAGAACAGUGAAUAGGGGAACUCUUGUACUCAGGGUCUGCCUGUGGAGGUGUGGGCAAGAUAUGUGACUGGGGCAGGAAGAAGAGAGCAUUAGAGACCAAACCAGGAAGCUAGGAAACACCUCCCAUUCAGAGUUCAACACUACAUACUGAUAUCAUGUGAAGUCUGAUGGGUGCGUGCAGGGGGAAGUAGUCAGCUGUGAGACUUCCAAUUCAAAUGAAGGAGAAAGAAUACUCAAAGUUUAAAAAAAUAUAUAGAAAACGUCACCUUGGUGUUUAUUCUAAACCAUAGCCUUAAGGGCAAGUAAAAUUCUGUAUUGUUUCAUAAUGUACAAAAAGAUCGUAUGUACUAUUUGAAGCUCUCAGAACUAACUCACACACACAGCUUUCUUCACUGCUGGACUUACUUUAAACUUUAGACUACGUGAAAAUGAAACUGUCCAUUGUCCAGGAAAAUAUGAGAAAUAGCUGUUCUUAGUUAGAACCCCUGUUGGCUGAGUGUGGCAGUGAAUGCUUGUACACCCCAGCCCUUGGGAGGCAAAGAUAGAAGGGCCACAAGCUCCAGGUCAGCCUGUUCUACACAAAGAGGCUCACACCAUCCUAGACAACAUAGGGAAAUGUUGUCACAAAGACUGUAGUUAGCUAAAACCUCCGGACACGUCCCCAAUGCACCGGUUACAUACCCGUGGAAAAGCAUGGGGACACAUGUGUCAAGAUCUCAGUUCCAGUACCAGCUCUGUCAGAUGUGAGCCUGCCUGUCACUUGUGUUCCCAUUAUGAGCUGGACAUAGGGUAUCACCCUCUUCCAUGGGAAUCAAAUAAAAUAGCAUGUGUGCUCAGCCAACAUACCACCAGCAGAUAAGCUGCAGGCAGCCCCUUCCCAUUAGCAUCUCACUGCCAACCUCCCCAGAACUUGACUUCUUUCACUAAGUAGCGUGGUAAGAGUAUCUUUGAGAGGUAUUUAGAAUGUUACCUUUUUAAUUAAAUUGUCUACUUUCCCUUGGCCAAAUUAAUCUGGUUUAAUUGGCUUAGAACUAACUAGCUACUGGUCAGCAGAGUAUGUUAUAAAACUAAACAUACUUAAAGGGCUAGGGAAUGUAGCCUGGUGGCAUAGAGCCUGCCUGGCAUAUGUAAGACCCUGUGUUCAAUCCCUGCACCACCGUCACAUACACUGUCAACAACAACAAUAGCAAUAGCAACAACAUCAAAACCAGAAGGUUGACUGGACGUUGGAAAGAUGAAGACCAUGUCUUGCUCUUGAAGAAGAUCUAAGCACCCAUGUGAGGUAGCUUAUGAUUUGGUUAUGAGUACCCACCUGAGGUAGCUCCAGGCGAUUGAUCGGAUGCCUUCUCUGGGGCUCUGAGGGCAACAGUGCCCAAAGGUAAACACACCCAGAUACGCACAUGUAUAGUUUAUUCUCUAAAACAUGUA